rnacentral:rRNA from 1 species
UACGGGGGGAGCAAGCGUUGUUCGGAUUUACUGGGCGUAAGGGGCGCGUAGGCGGCCUCUGCAAGUCGACUGUGAAAUCUCCGGGCUUAACCCGGAAAGGUCAGCCGAUACUGCAGGGCUAGAGUGCAGAAGGGGCAACUGGAAUUCUCGGUGUAGCGGUGAAAUGCGUAGAUAUCGAGAGGAACACCUGCGGCGAAGGCGGGUUGCUGGGCUGACACUGACGCUGAAGCGCGAAAGCUAGGGGAGCGAACGGG